AACGAACGCUGGCGGCGUGCCUAAUACAUGCAAGUCGAACGGAUGUAGCAAUACAUUAGUGGCGCACGGGUGCGUAACGCGUAUGUAACCUACCUUCAUCAGGGGGAUAACUACCCGAAAGGGUGGCUAACACCGCAUAAUACUAUUGAGUGGCAUCACUUGAUAUUUAAAUCUGAGGAGGAUGAAGAUGGGCAUGCGUCUGAUUAGCUAGUUGGUGUGGUAACGGCGCACCAAGGCGACGAUCAGUGGGGGAACUGAGAGGUUGGUCCCCCACACUGGCACUGAGAUACGGGCCAGACUCCUACGGGAGGCAGCAGUAGGGAAUAUUGGUCAAUGGUGGGAACACUGAACCAGCCAUUCCGCGUGCAGGAAGAAGGGUCUCUGACUUGUAAACUGCUUUAGCAAGGGGAGAAAAAGCUCAUGCGUGAGAAAUUGACGGUACCUUGAGAAUAAGCACCGGCUAACUACGUGCCAGCCGCCGCAGUAAUAC
rnacentral:rRNA from 1 species